CAGCCCUAAACGAUGCGCGUUAGGUGUAUCGGUGACCACGAGUCACCGAGGUGCCGAAGGGAAACCGUGAAACGUGCCGCCUGGGAAGUACGGUCGCAAGGCUGAAACUUAAAGGAAUUGGCGGGGGAGCACCACAACAGGUGGAGCCUGCGGUUUAAUUGGAUUCAACGCCGGACAUCUCACCGGAUAAGACAGUUGAAUGAUUGUCAAUCUGAAGGUUAUACAUGACUAGCUGAGAGGUGGUGCAUGGCGUCAGUGACU
rnacentral:rRNA from 1 species